CCUACGGGAGGCAGCAGUGAGGAAUUUUCCGCAAUGGGCGAAAGCCUGACGGAGCAAUGCCACGUGGAGGAGGAAGGCCUGUGGGUCGUAAACUCCUUUUUCUCAGAGAAGAAGUUCUGACGGUAUCUGAGGAAUAAGCAUCGGCUAACUCUGUGCCAGCAGCCGCGGUAAUACAGGGGGAUGCAAGCGUUAUCCGGAAUUAUUGGGCGUAAAGCGUCCUGAGGUGGCUUACCCAGUCGACUGUGAAAGCUCAAGGCUUAACCUUGAAACGGCAGUCGAAACUUGUAAGCUUGAGUACGGUAGGGGCAGAGGGAAUUCCCGGAGGAGAGGUGAAAUUCGUAGAUAUCGGGAGGAAGGCCAAAGGCGAAAGCACUCUGCUGGGCCGAUUACUGACACUGACAGACGAAAGCUAGGGGAGCGAAAGGGAUUAGAUACCCCUGUAGUCCUAGCCGUAAACGAUGGAUACUAAGUGUUGCGCGACUCAAAACGUGCAGUGCUGCAGCUAACGCGGUAAGUAUCCCGCCUGGGGAGUAUGCCCGCAAGGGUGAAACUCAAAUGAAUUGACGG
rnacentral:rRNA from 1 species